rnacentral:rRNA from 1 species
AGGGUUUGAUCAUGGCUCAGGACGAACGCUGGCGGUGCGCCUUAUGCAUGCAAGUCGAGCGAAGCUUUUCAGUAGUUUACUACAGAAAAUGACUGAGCGGCGAACGGGUGAGUAACGCGUGAGCAAUCUACCUUAGUUACAGGGAUAGCCCGAGGAAACUCGGAUUAAUACCUGAUAUUCUUUACAUUUCGCAUGAAAUCAAAAGGAAAGGUCAGCCGAACUAAGAUGAGCUCGCGUUCUAUCAGCUAGUUGGUGAGGUAAAAGCUUACCAAGGCAACGACGGAUAGCUGGUCUGAGAGGACGAUCAGCCACACUGGGACUGAGACACGGCCCAGACUCCUACGGGAGGCUGCAGCAGGGAAUAUCGCGCAAUGAGCGAAAGCUUGACGCAGCGACACCGCGUGUGGGAUGACGGAUCUAGGUUUGUAAACCACUUUCAGGAGGGAAGAAAAUGACGGUACCUCCACAAGAAGCCCCGGCCAACUACGUGCCAGCAGCCGCGGUAAUAC